AGGUGAACAUUCUGGUGGUGCUAAUGGAAUUUCAGAGCUGAGUUUUGUUUCUCAAUCCUGGGACAGGCCCUGGCAGAUCCGAGAUGAGGAAGCACAAACAGGUGGACUUGGAGAUGACACACUCGGGCUUCGCAGAAAUGGAGGAGAAAAGCUAACAACUGGUUUACGCUCAAGAAUCAAUAGAAUGAGCAGGAGCUGUAUAACCAGAAGGAGUCAUUGCCAGUGUGGUUGUUGUCUCCAUCAUCACCAACACCACCGCCACCAACAGGGGAACAAGAGCAACUGCUGUUCACUGAGUGUUACUGUAUAUCAGUUCCCAUGGCAAACAUCGCACAUAGUUCAUCUCAUUGAUCCUUUACAAGGAAUGAAGGAAUGAUCAUUAGAAGGAAUGUAUUAUUUACUCCCAUUUAAUAGGUUAGGAAACCGAGGCUUAGAAUCACAUAGUAAAGUGGAGCUGGAAUU